UUGCUUCAGCGGCACCUACACUAAAAUUGGAAUGAUACAGAGAAAAUUAGCAUAGCUUCCAUGCAAGAAUGACGUGAAAAUUUGUGGAACAUUCUAUAUUUAA
ensembl:snRNA U6 U6 spliceosomal RNA